CCUCGAAAUAGCUUUAGGGCUAGCCUGAGGUUAGUCUGUCGGGGGUAGAGCACUGAAUGGGCUAGGGGGCCACAAAGCUUACCGAACCCUAUCAAACUUCGAAUACCGGAUAAUUGAUGAUCGGGAGUCAGACAGUGUGAGAUAAGUUUCAUUGUCGAAAGGGAAACAGCCCAGAUCUACGACUAAGGUCCCAAAGUUCAAGUUAAGUGGAAAAGGAUGUGCAAUUGCGCAGACAACCAGGAUGUUGGCUUAGAAGCAGCCAUUCAUUCAAAGAGUGCGUAAUAGCUCACUGGUCGAGUGAUUGUGCGCCGAAAAUGUAACGGGGCUAAACUUGACACCGAAGUCUAGGCAGAAGGAAACUUCUGGGUAGGGGAGCAACGUGUACGGGCAGAAGCAGAAGCGGAAGCGACUGUGGACUGUACAGGAGAGAGAAUGCCGGCAUGAGUAGCGAGAGCAAAGUGAGAAUCUUUGCCGUCGAAAGCCUAAGGUUUCCUGAGGAAGGUUCGUCCUCUCAGGGUAAGUCGGGACCUAAGCCGAGGACAAUAGUCGUAGGCGAUGGACAAUCGGUUAAUAUUCCGAUACCGCCGAGCAACCGGAUGCAGUGACACAGAAGGAUAGGCAGAGCGUGGCGAUGGUAGACCACGUCCAAGCAGUGAGGCUGUUGUGUAGUGAAGUACGCACAACGGAAGGCUGGGCUGUGAUGGGGAACGAUUACGAUCGGUAAGCUGCUGAAUUCACGCUGGCGAGAAAAGCUGCUACGAAGCGAAGGCGCCCGUACCGCAAACCGACACAGGUAGGCGAGGAGAGAAUCCUAAGACGAGCGGGAGAACCCUUGUUAAGGAACUCGGCAAAAUGACUCCGUAACUUAGGGAGAAGGAGUGCCCAGGAAUGGGCCGCAGAGAAUAGACCCAAGCGACUGUUUACCAAAAACACAGGUCUGUGCGAAGUAGAGAUACGACGUAUACGGGCUGACACCUGCCCAGUGCCGGAAGGUUAAGGGGAAAUGUUAGGGCAACCGAAGCAUGGAACUUAAGCCCCGGUGAACGGCGGCCGUAACUAUAACGGUCCUAAGGUAGCGAAAUUCCUUGUCGGGUAAG
rnacentral:rRNA from 1 species